CUUCAAAAAGUCUGAGAACCACUGCUCUAUACUAACUUAAUUGAAAUAAAUCCCAGUUUGAAAUAAUUUGUAACACAAAUGUUUCUCUUGAAUUAAAGAAAGUAGUCACAUUCAAUAUACUGUAUAUUGCACAAUAUGCACAAAAUUACAUAUAGAUUCUUCAAUAUCUAAUUUUAACUGUGCGAAUAUAGAAAAAUAUGACUUGCCCAAUAUUGAACCCAUUCUAAUGGUUUAUAUACAAUAUUUAAAUAUAUUUAUUAACAUGCCAUUAUUGCAACAUCAAAUUAUUGAGUUUUCUAAUUUCACAUUAUUUUAGACUGUAUUAAUUUCAAAUUUAUUAUUAUUUUCAUAUUUUUAAAAUAAACGGGCACCUUAUAGCAUAUUUAGCAAAUACAAAUACGAAUUUAUUUUUCUUGUAAUGAAAUCUUCAUAUAUAAUUUUUAUUCAUCUAAUAUACUUUUGUAAAAUUAAACAUUAGGGAAAAAAAUUUAUUUAUUAACUUCUUAAUUUAAUAAAUUUAGUGAAUGUAUCGGAUCACUCCAUUUAUUUUUAACCUAAUUGAUUUAUUUAUAAGGGAUACAAGGCCGCCAUUAAUCGAGCGCAGUAAUACAAAUGACGUUGCACUGCGGUUGGCAUUCUUCUCGCCUACAUUCCUGAUUAGGAUACAUUGGAUUAAAACACAUUAUAAUCGCUUAUUUUAAAUUCCUAUCUGUCAGCAAUUUUUAAUAAUUAUAAGAUAUUAAUUAAUAUUACAAUUCACAAUUUGGAAAUAACAUAUUUUUUCUCUUCGGAAAAGUAAACGCGUCGGGGUUUAUUUGACGACGACAACGCAACAACACGAAGAAGAAGUUCGGUCCGAAUUUAGCCAUCUUUGUAUUAUACAGCAGGGUAGCAUCCAUUAGAUAGCAGGAUAGUAUCAAUUAGAGGAUUGUUAAAACUUAAUAUACGAUAUAAAUGAUAUAAUUAACUUUUAAAUAAUAAGCCUAAACAAAUUAUAAAAAUUAUCAAUGAAUCAUUUACGUAAUCAGUUUUUCCAAUCGUCAUUUGGCAGUGAAGAAGAAAGUUUCGGAGGAUGUGUUUUCUAAUCGAUUACUCUUGGACUCGUGGAUUUGAGUUUAAUUAAAAAAGUGAAAGCUGUACAUAUAUCAAUAAUAUAUAAGAAAACAGAAGUAUGAAAUUUUAAAUUAAUAGAUUGUAAAUCAGGUAAGUGAAAUACUGCAUUUGCAUUCUUUUAUAUUUCAACUUAUGUAUUUUUGGGUUUAAAUUGUUGAAACUUUAAUUCAGGUUUUAAAAAAAGUUCUGAAAUAAAUUUAGUUUAUGUAAUAUGAUAGUACAAUUUAAUUGAUAAUUAUUCAUUAAUGAAUACAGUAGACACUUGAUUAUCUGAGAGAAAAAUUUUGUUGAGAUUAUUAG